rnacentral:tRNA from 1 species
GGUGACUCAGUGGUAGAGUGCUUGCCUUGCAUGCAUGAGGCCCUUGGUUCUAUUCCUCGGCACCA